UAGGGAAUCUUGCGCAAUGGGCGAAAGCCUGACGCAGCGACGCCGCGUGAGGGAAGAAGGCCUUCGGGUUGUAAACCUCUUUCAGGAGGGACGAAGCCACUCGGGUUAAUAGCCCAGAGGGUGACGGUACCUCCAGAAGAAGCCCCGGCUAACUACGUG
rnacentral:rRNA from 1 species